rnacentral:rRNA from 1 species
GAGUAACGUGUCGGAUACUGGGCGUAAGAACUCGUAGGUGGUUUGUCGCGUCGUCUGUGAAUUCCGGGGCUUAACUCCGGGCGUGCAGGCGAUACGGGCAUAACUUGAGUACUGUAGGGGAGACUGGAAUUCCUGGUGUAGCGGUGAAAUGCGCAGAUAUCAGGAGGAACACCGGUGGCGAAGGCGGGUCUCUGGGCAGUAACUGACGCUGAGGAGCGAAAGCAUGGGGAGCGAACAGGAUUAGAUACCCUGGUAGUCCAUGCCGUAAACGGUGGGCGCUAGGUGUGGGUUUCCUUCCACGGGAUCCGUGCCGUAGCUAACGCAUUAAGCGCCCCGCCUGGGGAGUACGGCCGCAAGGCUAAAACUCAAAGGAAUUGACGGGGGCCCGCACAAGCGGCGGAGCAUGUGGAUUAAUUCGAUGCAACGCGAAGAACCUUACCUGGGCUUGACAUAUACAGGAUCGCGCCAGAGAUGGUGUUUCCCUUGUGGCUUGUAUACAGGUGGUGCAUGGUUGUCGUCAGCUCGUGUCGUGAGAUGUUGGGUUAAGUCCCGCAACGAGCGCAACCCUUGUCUUAUGUUGCCAGCACGUUGUGGUGGGGACUCGUAAGAAACUGCCGGGGUUAACUCGGAGGAAGGUGGGGAUGACGUCAAAUCAUCAUGCCCCUUAUGUCCAGGGCUUCACACAUGCUACAAUGGUCGGUACAGUGGGUUGCCAGUCCGUGAGGGCGAGCUAAUCCCGCAAAGCCGGUCUCAGUUCGGAUCGGGGUCUGCAACUCGACCCCGUGAAGUCGGAGUCGCUAGUAAUCGCAGAUCAGCAACGCUGCGGUGAAUACUCCCCGCGGGCCUG